rnacentral:snRNA from 1 species
GUACUCACUUCAGCAGCACACAUACUAAAAAUUGGAACGAUACAAAGAAGAUUAGCAUGGCCCCUGCGAAAGGAUGACAGGUAAAUUCGUAAAGUGUUCUGCAUUAAAUUUUU